GCCCACAUAGCUCAGUCGGUAGAGCACUUCCUUGGUAAGGAAGAGGUCACCGGUCCGAUUCCGGUUGUGGGCUCCA
rnacentral:tRNA from 1 species